rnacentral:rRNA from 1 species
GACGAACGCUGGCGGCGUGCUUAACACAUGCAAGUCGAGCGGUAAGGCCUUUCGGGUACACGAGCGGCGAACGGGUGAGUAACACGUGGGUGACCUGCCUUUAGCUUCGGGAUAAGCCUGGGAAACCGGGUCUAAUACCGGAUAUGACCUCAUGUCGCAUGGUGUGGGGUGGAAAGUUCUUCGGCUAAGAGAUGGGCCUGCGGCCUAUCAGCUUGUUGGUGGGUGAUUGGCCUACCAAGGCGACGACGGGUAGCCGGCCUGAGAGGGCGGCCGGCCACACUGGGACUGAGAUAC